rnacentral:rRNA from 1 species
UGGGGAAUAUUGCACAAUGGGCGCAAGCCUGAUGCAGCCAUGCCGCGUGUAAGAAGAAGGCCUUCGGGUUGUAAAGUACUUUCAGUCGGGAGGAAGGUGGUAAGGUUAAUAACCUUAUCAAUUGACGUUACCGACAGAAGAAGCACCGGCUAACUCCGUGCCAGCAGCCGCGGUAAUACGGAGGGUGCAAGCGUUAAUCGGAAUUACUGGGCGUAAAGCGCACGCGGGCGGUUGAUUGAGUCAGAUGUGAAAUCCCCGGGCUUAACCAGUGAAUUGCGUCUGAUACUGGUAAGCUAGAGUGGUGUAGAGGGGGGUAGAAUUCCACGUGUAGCGGUGAAAUGCGUAGAGAUGUGGAGGAGAACCGGUGGCGAAGGCGGCCCCCUGGACAAAGACUGACGCUCAGGUGCGAAAGCGUGGGGAGCAAACAGG